ACCCUGCCAGCAUGUUCCGCUGAUGCGUCAGCGACAUGCCCAGGUAGCCACGGUCUUCAAGGCUACGGCGCGGUUCCGACCGCGUGACCCAACCAGUUCGCCUCAGCAUCCCCAGCGCGAACGGCCGUCCCUCGGGAUGGUGGAUGC
ncrna:unclassified sequences radC RNA